rnacentral:rRNA from 1 species
CAGUAGCCGCGGGAAAACGUAGGGCGCAAGCGUUGUCCGGAAUUAUUGGGCGUAAAGAGCUCGUAGGCGGUCUGUCGCGUCUGGUGUGAAAUCCCGAGGCUCAACCUCGGGCUUGCAUCGGGUACGGGCAGACUAGAGUGCGGUAGGGGAGACUGGAAUUCCUGGUGUAGCGGUGGAAUGCGCAGAUAUCAGGAGGAACACCGAUGGCGAAGGCAGGUCUCUGGGCCGCAACUGACGCUGAGGAGCGAAAGCAUGGGGAGCGAACAGGAUUAGAUACCCCGGUAGUCCCUGUCUCUUAUAU